rnacentral:rRNA from 1 species
AUUGAACGCUGGCGGCAUGCUUUACACAUGCAAGUCGAACGGUAACAGGCCGCAAGGUGCUGACGAGUGGCGAACGGGUGAGUAAUGCAUCGGAACGUGCCCAGUCGUGGGGGAUAACGCAGCGAAAGCUGCGCUAAUACCGCAUACGAUCUAUGGAUGAAAGCGGGGGACCGAAAGGCCUCGCGCGAUUGGAGCGGCCGAUGUCAGAUUAGGUAGUUGGUGGGGUAAAGGCUCACCAAGCCAACGAUCUGUAGCUGGUCUGAGAGGACGACCAGCCACACUGGGACUGAGACACGGCCCAGACUCCUACGGGAGGCAGCAGUGGGGAAUUUUGGACAAUGGGCGCAAGCCUGAUCCAGCAAUGCCGCGUGCAGGAAGAAGGCCUUCGGGUUGUAAACUGCUUUUGUACGGAACGAAACGGUCCGGGUUAAUACCCUGGGCUAAUGACGGUACCGUAAGAAUAAGCACCGGCUAACUACGUGCCAGCAGCCGCAGUAA